GUCGUAACAAGGUCUCCGUUGGUGAACCAGCGGAGGGAUCAUUACUGAGUACUACACUCUCUACCCUUUGUGAACUAUUAUACCUGUUGCUUCGGCGGCGCCCGCAAGGGUGCCCGCCGGUCUCAUCAGAAUCUCUGUUUUCGAACCCGACGAUACUUCUGAGUGUUCUUAGCGAACUGUCAAAACUUUUAACAACGGAUCUCUUGGCUCCAGCAUCGAUGAAGAACGCAGCGAAACGCGAUAUGUAAUGUGAAUUGCAGAAUUCAGUGAAUCAUCGAAUCUUUGAACGCACAUGGCGCCUUCCAGUAUCCUGGGAGGCAUGCCUGUCCGAGCGUCGUUUCAACCCUCGAGCCCCUGUGGCCCGGCGUUGGGGAUCUGCCACGGCAGGCCCCUAAAACCAGUGGCGGACCCGAAGGCCCUCUCCUUUGCGCAGUAGCAUCAGCCUCGCAUUGGGAUCCCUCGGCGUCCUGCCUCUAAACCCCCCACAAGUCCGCUCCGGCGGCACCAAGGUUGACCUCGGAUCAGGUAGGAAUACCCGCUGAACUUAAGCAUAUCAAUA
rnacentral:rRNA from 1 species